rnacentral:miRNA from 1 species
CAGUCAGCAUAAAUUGAAGUAA